rnacentral:rRNA from 1 species
CCAGGAAUCUUGGGCAAUGGGCGCAAGCCUGACCCAGCAACACCGUGUGGGCGAUGAAGGCCUUCGGGUCGUAAAGCCCUGUUGAUAGGGACGAAGGGCGAAGGGUUAAUAGCCCCUAGCCUGACGGUACCUUUCGAGGAAGCCCCGGCUAACUACGUGCCAGCAGCCGCGGUAAUACGUAGGGGGCGAGCGUUGUCCGGAAUUAUUGGGCGUAAAGAGCGUGUAGGCUGUUCGGUAAGUCUGCCGUGAAAACCUGAGGCUCAACCUCGGGCGUGCGGUGGAUACUGCCGGGCUAGAGGACGGUAGAGGCGAGUGGAAUUCCCGGUGUAGCGGUGAAAUGCGCAGAUAUCGGGAGGAACACCAGUAGCGAAGGCGGCUCGCUGGGCCGUUCCUGACGCUGAGACGCGAAAGCUAGGGGAGCGAACAGGAUUAGAUACCCUGGUAGUCCUAGCCGUAAACGAUGGACACUAGGUGUGGGGGAGUCGAAUCCCUCUGUGCCGCAGUUAACGCGUUAAGUCG